UACGAAGGGGGCUAGCGUUGCUCGGAUUGACUGGGCGUAAAGGGCGCGUAGGCGGUUUGCACAGUCAGACGUGAAAUUCCUGGGCUUAACCUGGGGGCUGCGUUUGAUACGUGCAGGCUUGAGUUCGGAAGAGGGUCGUGGAAUUCCCAGUGUAGAGGUGAAAUUCGUAGAUAUUGGGAAGAACACCGGUGGCGAAGGCGGCGACCUGGUCCGAUACUGACGCUGAGGCGCGAAAGCGUGGGGAGCAAACAGG
rnacentral:rRNA from 1 species